CCUACGGGAUGCAGCAGUGGGGAAUAUUGGGCAAUGGGCGCAAGCCUGACCCAGCAACGCCGCGUGAAGGAAGAAGGCUUUCGGGUUGUAAACUUCUUUUCUGAGGGAUGAAGAAAGUGACGGUACCUCAGGAAUAAGCCACGGCUAACUCAGUGCCAGCAGCCGCGGUAAUACGUAGGUGGCAAGCGUUAUACGGAUUGAUUGGGUGUAAAGGGCGUGGAGGCGGGAAAGCAAGUCAGAUGUGAAAACUCAGGGCUCAACCCUGAGCCUGCAUUUGAAACUGUUUUUCUUGAGUGCUGGAGAGGCAAUCGGAAUUCCGUGUGUAGCGGUGAAAUGCGUAGAUAUACGGAGGAACACCAGUGGCGAAGGCGGAUUGCUGGACAGUAACUGACGCUGAGGCGCGAAAGCGUGGGGAGCAAACAGGAUUAGAUACCCCAGUAGUC
rnacentral:rRNA from 1 species